rnacentral:rRNA from 1 species
UACAGAGGUGCCAAGCGUUAGGCGGAAUCACUGGGCGUAAAGCGUGCGCAGACGGUUGCGUAAGUCAGAUGUGAAAGCCCCGGGCUCAACCUGGGAAUUGCAUUUGAGACUGCGUAGCUAGGGUGCGGAAGAGGGAAGCGGAAUUUCCGGUGUAGCGGUGAAAUGCGUAGAUAUCGGAAGGAACACCAGUGGCGAAAGCGGCUUCCUGGUCCAGCACCGACGUUCAGGCACGAAAGCGUGGGGAGCAAACAGG